rnacentral:rRNA from 1 species
UACGUAGGGGGCAAGCGUUGUCCGGAUUUAUUGGGUUUAAAGGGUGCGUAGGCGGUUCCAUAAGUCAGUGGUGAAAUACAAUAGCUUAACUAUUGAGGUGCCAUUGAUACUGCGGAACUUGAGUACAGACGAGGUAGGCGGAAUUGACGGUGUAGCGGUGAAAUGCUUAGAUAUCGUCAAGAACACCGAUAGCGAAGGCAGCUUACUAGACUGUAACUGACGCUGAGGCACGAAAGUGUGGGGAUCAAACAGG